UGGCGGCGUGCCUAAUACAUGCAAGUCGAACGGUCUUUCUAUGGAAGCUUGCUUCCACUGAAAGAUAGUGGCGAACGGGUGAGUAACACGUGGGUAACCUGCCCAUAAGAGGGGGGAUAACAUCCGGAAACGGGUGCUAAUACCGCAUAGUUUUCUUGAUUGCAUGAUUGAGAAAGGAAAGACGGCCUUUGUGCUGUCGCUUAUGGAUGGACCCGCGGCGUAUUAGUUAGUUGGUGAGGUAACGGCUCACCAAGACGAUGAUACGUAGCCGACCUGAGAGGGUGAUCGGCCACAUUGGGACUGAGACACGGCCCAAACUCCUACGGGAGGCAGCAGUAGGGAAUCUUCCGCAAUGGACGAAAGUCUGACGGAGCAACGCCGCGUGAGUGAAAGAAGGUUUUCGGAUCGUAAAACUCUGUUGUCAGAGAAGAACAAGUUGGAGAGUAACUGCUCCAGCCUUGACGGUAUCUGACCAGAAAGCCACGGCUAACUACGUGCCAGCCGCCGC
rnacentral:rRNA from 1 species